AUUGGUUCUCUCUCCCUCAGGUCGCUCUCCCUAGGCUCUCUCUCCCUCAGGUCGCUCCCCCUGGUCUCUCUCUCCCUCAGAUCGCUCCCCCUGGUCUCUCUCUCCCUCAGAUCGCUCCCCCUGGUCUCUCUCUCCCUCAGAUCGCUCCCCCUGGUCUCUCUCUCCCUCAGGUCGCUCCCCCUCGACUCUCUCUCCCUCAGGUCGCUCCCUCUGGGCUCUCUCUCCCUCAGAACGCUUCCCCUGGACUCUCUCUCCCUCAGGUCGCUCCCCCUGGACUCUCUCUCCCUCAGGUCGCUCCCCCUGGACUCUCUCUCCCUCAGGUCGCUCCCUCUGGGCUCUCUCUCCCUGAGGUCGCUCCCUCUGGACUCUCUCUCCCUGAGGUCGCUCCCCCUGGACUCUCUCUCCCUCAGAACGCUCCCCCUGGACUCUCUCUCCCUCAGGUCGCUCCCUCUGGGCUCUCUCUCCCUCAGAACGCUCCCCCUGGACUCUCUCUCCCUCAGGUCGCUCCCCCUGGACUCUCUCUCCCUCAAGUCGCUCCCCCUGGACUCUCUCUCCCUUAGAUCGCUCCCCCUGGGCUCUCUCUCCCUAUCCCUCCAGGAUUGCCUCCUGAAGGUUCCCUCCCUCUCCCUAGGGCUGAGAAACCUGUCGUUGACUGUCUCUCUUUCUUGGUGGAAGAUCCCCCUAAAACUGCUCUCUCUAAAGGGUAACCUCUCCUCGAGGAGCUCCCUCUCUUCUGGGAGUAAAUUAACCUCUCUGGGUCUCUCUUCCUGGACCAAGUUCCUCUCCUCCCUGUCUGUUCUAGGGUACCUCGGUUCUACUCUCUCCCUCAACCCCCAGUCUUGGAUUGGGUGGGUUACAACGCUUUCUCUGUCCCUCAGUAGGUACCUCACCAGAGUUCUCUCUCUUUCCUGGAUGAUUCCCCUUAUCUCUCUCUCCCUCCAAAGGAGCCUCUCUUCUAAUCUCGCUCUCUCCUGCUGGAUAGUCCCCCUAAGCUCUCUUUCUCGACCUAGACGCCUCAGAUCAGCCCUCUCUUUGUUUUCCUGGAUGUGCCCCCUUAACGCUCUCUCUCUUUCUGUGGAUGACUGGCCCCCCAGCUCUACUUCCCCUCGAGGUUCCCUCUCCUCAGCUCUCCCCUCUCUCCCUCGACGCCCCCUUCCCUCAGCGACGCCCGCUUCCCGAAGCUCUCGUUCUCUCUCCUCCUCGAACCGGACAGGUCACAGGCGCGCACGCGCGAGCGCGGGCAGAAGGGCAGGGAGGGGCAGGUGGGUUAGGCUCAGUCCUCGCGACGUUCCUGUCACCGGACACGCCGUUUUCACUCUUCUUUGGCCUUCCUGA
rnacentral:lncRNA from 1 species